rnacentral:rRNA from 1 species
AUUGAACGCUAGCGGGAUGCCUAACACAUGCAAGUCGAACGGAGUGGCGAACGGGUGAGUAAUGUACCGGAACGUGCCCAGUAGCGGGGGAUAACUACGCGAAAGCGUAGCUAAUACCGCAUACUAUUGGAGCGGCCGAUAUCGGAGUAGCAAGGUGGUGGGGUAACGGCUCACCAAGGCGACGAGCCGACGCUGGUUUGAGAGGACGACCAGCCACACUGGGACUGAGACACGGCCCAGACUCCUACGGGAGGCAGCAGUGGGGAAUUUUGGACAAUGGGGGAAACCCUGAUCCAGCCAUCCCGCGUGUGCGAUGAAGGCCUUCGGGUUGUAAAGCACUUUUAGCUGGCAAGCGGUACCUGCAGAAUAAGCACCGGCUAACUACGUGCCAGCAGCCGCGGUAAUUC